rnacentral:tRNA from 1 species
AGGAUAUUAGUUAAUAAUUAUAACAUUAAAAUUGCAAUUUAAUAUAAUAUUUAAUCAUAAUAUAUAUCUUU